UACGUAGGUGGCAAGCGUUGUCCGGAUUUACUGGGCGUAAAGAGCGCGCAGGCGGUCGUUCAAGUCGCGUGUGAAAGCCCCCGGCUCAACUGGGGAGGGUCACGCGAUACUGAUCGACUCGAAGGCAGGAGAGGGAAGCGGAAUUCCCGGUGUAGUGGUGAAAUGCGUAGAUAUCGGGAGGAACACCAGUGGCGAAGGCGGCUUCCUGGCCGUGGUUCUUGACGCUGAGGCGCGAAAGCUAGGGGAGCAAACGGG
rnacentral:rRNA from 1 species